AACGAACGCUGGCGGCAGGCUUAACACAUGCAAGUCGAGCGACGCCUUCGGGCUGAGCGGCGGACGGGUGAGUAACGCGUGGGAACGUGCCCUUCUCUCCGGAAUAGCCCUGGGAAACUGGGAGUAAUGCCGGAUACGGCCCCCUUUCGUGGAGAUUGGGGGCGAAAGAUUUAUCGGGGAAGGAUCGGCCCGCGUCGGAUUAGGUAGUUGGUGGGGUAACGGCCUACCAAGCCGACGAUCCGUAGCUGGUUUGAGAGGAUGAUCAGCCACACUGGGACUGAGACACGGCCCAGACUCCUACGGGAGGCAGCAGUGGGGAAUCUUGGACAAUGGGGGCAACCCUGAUCCAGCCAUGCCGCGUGAGCGAUGAAGGCCUUAGGGUUGUAAAGCUCUUUCAGCGGGGAAGAUAAUGACGGUACCCGCAGAAGAAGCCCCGGCUAACUCCGUGCCAGCAGCCGCGGUAAUAC
rnacentral:rRNA from 1 species